UACUUUCUGAGCAAUAAGAUACCCAGGCUCAUGCACUUUCUCCUCGCACAAUCCUGAAAUCACUCAUGAUGCCAAGAGUCCUGACCAGCAGAGAAAGGUAUUUAGAAGCUACGUUUUGGAGACCAGUUUUCCCUUUGGUAUUGCAGUCUUACUACUCCGAAGCCCUUUUGGUGGACAGAGAUAUAAAGCAGUUGAUCUAUGAUUUCGAAGGCAUCCUUGAACAUGGUGUUUUAAUCAGUUUGCUUAAAAGGAACAGCCAUUCACCCCAGUUGAGGUGAAAAAGAGAUAUCAGUCUUGCUGGUGGCAAUGUGGAAAUUCGUUGUCCCUCUCAGUAGAGGACAUUAUGCUGAUUAUUUUAGGAGUGAAAAGAUCACGUUGGUCUUGCUCACUGUUUCACUCUGAGGUCUUCACAUGCGGCAGGCUCUCAAAUCCUUGAAAGAGAACCAGGAUUACAGUUACUGUUCUUUAAGCUUAAAAUGAGCUUCAAUCAAGAGGAGGAAGGAAAAUUGCUUAAGUCAGACCCGACAGCUAAAGGCACCCUAUACACAUUUGCUACUGAAAUCAGUGACCUCAAAUGCCUGUGGUGUUCUAAACAGAUGGUGGGACCUCAUGGGAUGGAAGAAAGUGCAUUGGAUUAGAAAUGGGAAUAUUUGGCUCUAGCCUUGGUGCUCUGACACCUCUGUGUCUGUUUCACACCAUGUGAGGCUGGAAUGCAGUGGUGUGAUAAUUGCUCACUUCAGCCUUCCAACAACCUGGGACUACAGAUCCCAAGAGAAGAGCGCAUGCCAUACCAUGAGGGGCUACCAGGGGCAGCCGUCAGGAGACCAUGGAAGGUAGGGGAGAUGUGGGCAAGAACCUUUAUUGUAUGGGGAGGAACAGCAAGGCAAGGUAGGUGUAUUUAGGAUCAGCUGGUUUGAAUAACCUCAGGGGAGCUCUGGGGCAUAAGGCUGUUCUUAGUUGUCUGGUACCUGUCCUUAGUUGUCUGGGUGAUUAGGACAGGGGGUAGUGGCCUGGAAUGUGUGAGCUGAUAGACAUUGGGAGUAUGGGCACUAGGGGUGGAGGGGGGUUCGCAUUUGAUAGACAUACUUUUCUCUUUAGCUAAGUUGUUUUACCUCUAGCUUUUGGCUAACCCUGGGAGUGCCAGUCCCUUCCACAGUCAGCAAGACCCAAGAUGUUGAAGUCUGAGGCUACAGAAAAUAAAAACAUGGUUAAUACUGUCUCCCUCCUAGCACUCCUGACAAGCUGUGGACAGUGUUUAUUAACUUUCUACUAUAUUAAAGUACUGUUCUAAGCACCGAGGGUACAGCAAUUAAAAAAUGCUCUCUGUCCUCAGGGAUAUUCAGUUGGAACUCACAGCUAAAUGACAUUAAGGAAGUCAUCACAAAAAUUAAAAGUGAAAUUGCAAUUGUAAUAAUAUGUGCUAUAAAGAAGAGGGAGGGUAAUUGCAUCUUCCCUAAAAAUGCUAAAGAUUUACUGGAGAUUUAAAAAUGUAAAGAUGUAGGCAAAGGGUACUAGAGAGGAAAUGAGAGUAGGAGAGGAACAAUAGCAGAGUUCAUGCUAGUUGUGUGGCUGUUAACAGAGAAGUUUCUGGAAGGUGAUUGUGGGAUUGUUUACUUAGUCGAGGAAGCAAAUUUAACACAAAUCUAGCGCUCAUGUUUUGCCAGAA